rnacentral:lncRNA from 1 species
GUGUAAGUUGGACACCACCUGGUCACACAACUGUAUUGCUGUGCCCUUCUACUCAUGAGCAGUGCUGCCUGGAUGAAACCUUGAAGGGAUUCAAGCAUUUAACUGAGCCAGCUGCCUCCAUCAUGUUCUUAGUGCUUCCUAAGGCCCAAGGGGGUUCAUGAGAGUAGAACUGUGAGCCAACAAUUGAGGGAGGGCUUGAGGGUUUUAGACAGUUGCUUUGAACACUGAUUAGCAGACAAAUAUCUGUGCACAGGGGCAAUGCGGGGCCCCUCGUUGACACAGAACAAGCCUCUGAGGGCGGACCUCCUGAAUAUAUCAGUAUAGGUCAGGGCAGUAUAAUCUGGAGUUCACUGUGGGGGCUCAGCACCUAGAACAGGAAAAAAAAAAAAACCCUGAGGCUGGACUGGUCAUUGGAAUUGGUGUCAGGCAAGAGGGCCCUGCUAUGAGGAGAGAAGAGCUGGGGGCCGGGGACUGGAGCAGGAAGGGACCCAGUCAAGGCCAACACUGA